GAUGAACGCUGGCGGCGUGCCUAAUACAUGCAAGUCGAGCGAACGGACGAGAAGCUUGCUUCUCUGAUGUUAGCGGCGGACGGGUGAGUAACACGUGGAUAACCUACCUAUAAGACUGGGAUAACUUCGGGAAACCGUAGCUAAUACCGGAUAAUAUUUUGAACCGCAUGGUUCAAAAGUGAAAGACGGUCUUGCUGUCACUUAUAGAUGGAUCCGCACUGCAUUAGCUAGUUGGUAAGGUAACGGCUUACCAAGGCAACGAUGCAUAGCCGACCUGAGAGGGGGAUCGGCCACACUGGAACUGAGACACGGUCCAGACGCCUACGGGAGGCAGCAGUAGGGAAUCUUCCGCAAUGGGCGAAAGCCUGACGGAGCAACGCCGCGUGAGUGAUGAAGGUCUUCGGAUCGUAAAACUCUGUUAUUAGGGAAGAACAUAUGUGUAAGUAACUGUGCACAUCUUGACGGUACCUAAUCAGAAAGCCACGGCUAACUACGUG
rnacentral:rRNA from 1 species